AAAAUUUCAGUCCUAUUCUGCAAGCGCAGCGCUGCAAAAAGCCUGCGGCGCUCUGAGGCGCCUGGUCCUGGGGACCUCUUUCCACUCUUUACUCUCAAGAUAGGAGGAUGGGUCUGGGGGAUUGUUUUUGGUUUUCUGGUUUUGUUUUACUCUGGUUUGGUCGGUUUUGUAUUUUUCUAUUUUUCCUUUUUUUCCCUUUUUUCUUUUUUGAUUUUUCUUUCCCGUUAUUCUCCCAGCCAAAAGCUACCUUCGACCCUUUUGAUUUGAUGUAGCAAAGAGUGUGUGUCCAGAUUAUCUGAAAUUGACACUGAAGAAGGUAAGGGUGGAAACCGGUUUCAUUUUUCAGAGGGUUGGAAGGCUGCGCUGCGCCCGCCGCCGUGGCUCCCGCUCCGGGAGUAGGAGGGUGGGGGAGUGAUUAUGUAUGCACCAGCUAAUUCUUCCAUCAAAACUUCUUGUCAGCGAUGUCAGGAUUAUUUUUUUCCUUUUUAUAAAAACACUUGAUGUUUCAGGAAGUGUUAAUCCUCGAAGAUUGGGGGAUGAGGGAGGGGGUAGGAAAGCGGUGGGUGGGGGUGACAUGUUUCUUGAGCCUGGGGAAGGCACUUUUUACAGCCGUUUGUCUGUCUACGCUGGAGCUAGGGGUUUGUUGUGGAGCUGGGGACCGGAGGAGGAUUUCUUUGAGGCAUGGGAGGGAAGGACCCUCGCCUUCUGUACUGCAUUUGAUGGAGGUUCCUAUGGCCAUGCGGGAUGAAGAGCAGAAAAGUUUGCGUUAGCCUAUAAUUUCAAGGGUGUUUAAUCCAGGCGGUGGGAUGACAAAAACCAGGUAAUUCUGAAAUCAGUUUAUAAAAGAUACAGAAAGGAAGAGAUGGAUACCAGGAUAAAGAUUUAAAGCCAGGAAGCCUGGGUUGCUUCUUUGCUCCCAAUUUUUCUUGAUCUAGUAUCUCGGGUUCCACAUCCAGCGCACAGACCUACCUUUCCUGGGGUGACAGAAAUUGACAAUUUCUUCAAGGUGAAAGAUUCAGUUAGUUUCUACAUCAGAUGACUCUCUAUGAAUAAAUUCACACUUCUGUGCAUAUAGGUGGGGGGAAUCUUAAAACUUCUUGUGGCUCUAAAAACUCGUACAGAAUCAAGAAGGCUGAAGAGCUAUUAUAUCUAACCCAGCCCAGGUGCAGAUUUCCAGAAGAAAGAAAUAAAAAUAAAACAUAAUGAUCAGAGAGGAAAAGCUGUGAACUAUAAACGUUUCCAGUUUUAUAUUUUUAAAUAGUGCCUCGAUUUAAGAUAUGAGUUCUCCCACAAUUAGAUUACCACUCACAAGGCUACCCAGCCCCUCCAGGCUCCUGAAAGCCAAGACCAGUGAGGAGGGGGCUGGGGACUGUUGCUUCUCUCCCUACCCCUACCCCUUUUUAGAGCUAGUGUGGGUGAGAGAAGAUAUUAAAGGGAUAUCUGUUGUUUGGCAAUUUUGCUAAGUCUGUCUUCAUUACUUUGCUGCUGUGCAUUUGCUAAUUUGGAGGCCUGGCCAUUGACAAGCUUGCUCCAUACACCUGCAAGCAAUUUGCCGGCUCCGGUACCAGAGAAUUGCAGAGAUGGCAGCUCGCACCUAUUUGAUUUUUUUUUUUCCUUUUCUCAAUGCACAGCAAAUUUGGCUUUCAGUGCGUUAUCUCUUUUGUUAAUGCAAAAAGAUUCCCUGGGCGAAAAAAUUGCUCAUAAUUACCAGAGAGAUGGGGAAACUGCAUUAGAAUAAAUAAACCUGAAAUUACUGUAAUUAUGUUGUGUUUGAUGGGCCCGGCUUGUAAUCAAGAAGAGAAUACAGUGAAAUGAUGCUGACCCUCUUGGGUUUGCAGCUGUACGCGCACUUUGGGGUCUUUUUUUGCAGAAAAGAGUCAUUUUGAUAAUCAUUAAGCUGUGUGUAACCUAUUUCAGAAGUGUUUUAAAAUGAGUUUCACAUUUUUUGAACAAGGGAAAAAAAUCCCAAAAUUGCAUUUUGCCAUUACAGACUCAUACAUAAGGAAAGGUUGUGUUUUCUAAGUGACAAUUGUUAAGACAUAAUAUUCGAAAUCAGUAUUUAAUCAUUAUAAUGAGGUAUUGUUUAAAUAUAACCACCUUUAGAUUAUUCAUAGUUUAAUUAAUAUACUCAUUAUGAAAAUCUUUGAAUCAGAUAUUUGAUGAACUACUUGUCAGUAACAAGGCAGCAUUAAUUAGGCCUAUAUUGAGAUUAACAUUUUUAAAAAGUACAACCGCUUAUAAUUAUAAUAAAGCCUAACUAAAGACCGUUUUCGUUGA
ensembl:lncRNA novel transcript